UUUGCCUUGAAUGGUGCCUCUUCCUUACAUACUGUAUGGGCCCUGGUCUAAAGGGCCCUGGUCUAAAGGGCCCUGGUCUAAAGUAGUGCACUAUAUAGAGAAUAGGGCCCUGGUCAAAAGUAGUGCACUAUAUAGGGAAUAGGACUCUGGUCAAAAGGGCCCUGGUCAAAAGGGCUCGGGUCCAAUAUAGUGAACUAUAUAGGGAAUAGGGCUCUGGUCUAAUGUAGUGCACUAUAUAGGAAAUAGGAUGCCAUUUGGGAUGACGCCUGCCUUUUUGGGGGCGGCAAAGCUGUUUCUGUGCUAAAUACUGCCUCCUAGUGGAUUAAUAGUCACAACUGAUCUUUUGAUUAGACAUUGUAGCAAAGAUCAGCUGUCACUUUUUUAGUUAAGUAGCCAGAAUAUCAUAAUCUGUAUCACCAUCAUCAUCAUCAUCAUAGCCACCUUCCUCACCACUCUCACCUGUUGUAGGACAGCAAGUAAAAGGGAGACCUCUUCUCCGUUUCCUCCUUCGGGGUUGCCACAACAACCACCAGCACAGAGUUGAACAACAUGUAUUUGUAUUAGUGUUUAUUAUGGAUCCUCAUUAGUUCCUGCCAAGGCAGCAGCUACUCUUCCUGGGGUCCAGCAACAUUAAGGAAGUUAUAUGCAAUUCUAAAAACAUUACAUUUCACAACACAGUGUGUUCCCUCAGGCCACUACUCUACUACCACAUAUCUACAACACACUGUACAUGUGUGUGUGUGCAUGUGUGUCUCUUCACAGUCCCUGCUGUUCCAUAAGGUGUAGUUUUGUCUAGGUUUUAAAUCUGAUUUCACUGCUUGCAUCAGUUACUUAAUGUGGAAUAGAGUUCCAUGUAGUCAUGGCUCUAUGUAGUACUGUGGAAUAGAGUUCCAUGUAGUCAUGGCUCUAUGUAGUACUGUGGAAUAGAGUUCCAUGUAGUCAUGGCUCUAUGUAGUACUGUGGAAUAGAGUUCCAUGUAGUCAUGGCUCUAUGUAGUACUGUGCGCCUCCCAUAGUCUCUUCUGGACCUCUGGUGGCAUGUCUUGUGG
ensembl:lncRNA